ACGGAAGGCAGCAGUGGGGAAUAUUGCACAAUGGGGGAAACCCUGAUGCAGCGACGCCGCGUGAGUGAAGAAGUAUUUCGGUAUGUAAAGCUCUAUCAGCAGGGAAGAAAAUGACGGUACCUGACUAAGAAGCCCCGGCUAACUACGUGCCAGCAGCCGCGGUAGUACGUAGGGGGCAAGCGUUAUCCGGAUUUACUGGGUGUAAAGGGAGCGUAGACGGUAAAGCAAGUCAGAAGUGAAAACUCAGGGCUCAACCCUGAGAAUGCUUUUGAAACUGUUUUACUAGAGUGCAGGAGAGGUAAGCGGAAUUCCUAGUGUAGCGGUGAAAUGCGUAGAUAUUAGGAGGAACACCAGUGGCGAAGGCGGCUUACUGGACUGUAACUGACGUUGAGGCUCGAAAGCGUGGGGAGCAAACAGGAUUAGAUACCCUGGUA
rnacentral:rRNA from 1 species